UAUCGCUGGAGGUAGAGGUAGGACAAUGAGCUUUAUUGGACUGAAUAGAUAAGGUUUGAACUUUUGCCGGGAGUGUUCCUCCAAAACUAUCAUUGGAGAAAAUGUCUACACAUACAGACCCACAGACCAGGGCUCUAAUACGGCACAGGGCAGCAGUGCACAGACCUUGCUACUACAUGGAACACAUCUGCAACGUGGAAGGCCUUGGGAGCUGCUUUUUCCUCAAGAGGGUGAUGGUGCUAUGAAGCAGAGGGUCUUGUAAGCUGGGCAGAAGAAUAUCCUUAUCUUUGGGAAGGGUCUCUUUCUGCAGUUCUUUAGCAGGCCUCUUUCAAGACAGCAGGGAGAAGGCUCGCUGGCUCCAGGUACUACGAGAAAC